CCCUGCUCUAUUGCAUCUGAAGACACAGUGAUCCUCAACUUCUCGUUGUGUGACCCAGCUGAGGAGCCAGUUGCAGCCGAAGGAAGUCAACCUAAAAGGCCUUGCCGCAUUAACUAUGAAGCAAAAGCUCUGAUUGAAAAAAUCUUGACGACAAAGCCUGGAGGUGACCGUGUCAUGGAGGAGUAUGCGAAAACGAAAUCAUUUACAGAUUCAACCAGAAGACAGCUCAUCAACAUACUUACUGCAGAGAUGACGGAAACACAUGGGACAUCGCCGCCCCGGAGUGUAAAAGUGAUGUAUGCACAGGGGAUUGUCGCUCUGUUUCCAUACCUUGAAGACCCAUAUUCACAGAAUGGCUAUGAACAUUACUACGAUCCUGAAAGUGGUUCAGGCUACAUUGCAUGGCGGUUGAAGACAAUUCAACGAAAAGCUGCUGAGGAAAGAGGUCCUGCAGUUAGUACAUCUCCUAAAGUU